AUCUUGUGGUUCAUAGAUAUCAUGAGUAGGUUUCCAUGUCAUCCUAUGAGAUGUGCCUAAUUCAAACCUUGUUACACUAUCAGCUCAUUACCCACCUGAUG
rfam:Ictidomys tridecemlineatus contig092399, whole genome shotgun sequence.